UACGUAGGGGGCAAGCGUUGUCCGGAUUUAUUGGGCGUAAAGAGCGUGUAGGCGGCUAGAUAGGUCCGUUGUGAAAACUCGAGGCUCAACCUCGAGACGUCGAUGGAAACCAUCUGGCUAGAGUCCGGAAGAGGAGAGUGGAAUUCCUGGUGUAGCGGUGAAAUGCGCAGAUAUCAGGAAGAACACCAGUGGCGAAGGCGGAUCUCUGGGACGGUACUGACGCUGAGACGCGAAAGCGUGGGGAGCGAACAGG
rnacentral:rRNA from 1 species